rnacentral:misc_RNA from 1 species
UACGGAGGGUGCAAGCAUUAAUCGGAUUUAUUGGGCGUAAAGGGCGCGUAGGCGGGGAUAAAAGUCAGAUGUGAAAUCCCGGGGCUCAACCUCGGAACAGCAUUUGAAACUUUAUCUCUCGAGGGUAGGCGGAGAAAACGGAAUUCCACAAGUAGCGGUGAAAUGCGUAGAUAUGUGGAAGAACACCGGUGGCGAAGGCGGUUUUCUAGCUUACUCCUGACGCUGAUGCGCGAAAGCAAGGGGAUCAAACAGG